UACGUAGGGGGCUAGCGUUGUCCGGAAUCAUUGGGCGUAAAGAGCGCGUAGGCGGCUAGAUAAGUCCGGUGUGAAAGUCACAGGCUCAACCUGUGAAUGCCGCUGGAAACUGUCUGGCUAGAGUCCGGAAGGGGCGACGUGGAAUUCCUGGUGUAGCGGUAGAAAUGCGCAGAUAUCAGGAGGAACACCAAUGGCGGAAGGC
rnacentral:rRNA from 1 species